AGGGCGGGCAGCCCGGGGCGCAAAGGAUGUACAAGCAGUCAAUGGCGCAGAGAGCGCGGACCAUGGCACUCUACAACCCCAUCCCCGUCCGACAGAACUGCCUCACGGUUAACCGGUCUCUCUUCCUCUUCAGCGAAGACAACGUGGUGAGAAAAUACGCCAAAAAGAUCACCGAAUGGCCUCCCUUUGAAUAUAUGAUUUUAGCCACCAUCAUAGCGAAUUGCAUCGUCCUCGCACUGGAGCAGCAUCUGCCUGAUGAUGACAAGACCCCGAUGUCUGAACGGCUGGAUGACACAGAACCAUACUUCAUUGGAAUUUUUUGUUUCGAGGCUGGAAUUAAAAUCAUUGCCCUUGGGUUUGCCUUCCACAAAGGCUCCUACUUGAGGAAUGGCUGGAAUGUCAUGGACUUUGUGGUGGUGCUAACGGGCAUCUUGGCGACAGUUGGGACGGAGUUUGACCUACGGACGCUGAGGGCAGUUCGAGUGCUGCGGCCGCUCAAGCUGGUGUCUGGAAUCCCAAGUUUACAAGUCGUCCUGAAGUCGAUCAUGAAGGCGAUGAUCCCUUUGCUGCAGAUCGGCCUCCUCCUAUUUUUUGCAAUCCUUAUUUUUGCAAUCAUAGGGUUAGAAUUUUAUAUGGGAAAAUUUCAUACCACCUGCUUUGAAGAGGGGACAGGUAGGUCCACGGAGCAUGAUGCAUCUUUCCAGUUUUCUCCUUCAGGGACAAGCUCUUGGGAGGAUUAGGCAGGGGUGUGCUUCUUUCUCCUGGCAGCUGGGAGGACCGUCUCCUUCAGAGAGCACUACAGGAGAGGCAGUGAGUGAAAUAGCCUCUGAGAUCUUAGCUGUUGAAAGGGGUGGGGUUCCACGGAAGGUGACCCAGCAGAGAAAGAGUUUAUUUGGGAAUGAUCCCAGGAAGCACCAUCGGGGGAAUGAGGAAGUGAGCAGAGAAAGAAGGGAUCUUUUAAAGAGUGUGCUAUCAAGCGGGUUAUCACUUAAAACUGGGACUGGAUCCCCCUGGGCACCUCUGGGAGACAGCAAGGAACACACAACUCAGCUGGUCACGGUGGCUCACGCCUGUAAUCCCAGCACUUUGGGGGGCCAAGGCGGGUGGAUCACCUGAGAUCAGGAGUCAGAGACCAUCCUGGCCAACAUGGUGAAACCCCAUCUGUACUAAAAAAUACAAAAAUUAGCUGCGUGUGGUGGCAGGCACCUGUAGUCCCAAUUACUCAGGAGGCUGAGGCAGGAGAAUCACUUGAACCCGGGAGGCAGAAGUUGCAGUGAGCCAAGAUCACACCACUGCACUCCAGCCUGGCAAAAGAGUGAGACUCCAUCUCAAAUAAAUAAAUAAAAAUAUAAAUAAAAAAAGAACACACACCUCAGAGCCGUCCCAGCCAAGGGGCAAGGGAGCUGGGGUAUUUAUACACUGGCUUCUUUUUGACAUUGGUGAGGACUGCUCCUAGAGUGGGAAUUAAUGCCUGGCACAUCUGGCUGAGUGGAACAGGUAUUCUGGGUGCUUUCAGACCUCGACCAGUGCUGACUUCUAAAGCAAGCAAGAAUUGGGGAGAGUUGGGCCAGAAAAGGGUUAUUGCCUCAAUGCAUUGUGAGUGGUACCUUGUAGAAGGUGAGAGACAGAGAAGAUUCCAGGCACAGGUGCCAUGCUAAACGAUAGUUCUCAUUUAUUAUAGGAACCCAUGGAUUUAUUUUGUUCUCUGCCCUGAGUGCUGGGUGAGAGUACUGGAUGAGUCCUCCUGGUCUCCCCCAACCCCCAGGAUGUGCCAGAGAUACCCCAAUUGGGAGUCCUGGCACCAACCAAUCAGAACCUAGCACUCAGCAGCAUUCUGCCCCUCUCUGACUAUGCCCACAUUAACCCUUCAGUGGCUGGGUCUGGGGGUAGGGUGAGCCCCGGAAAAGCCAGGCAGCGCAGAGACACUCUCCCAGGGCUCAGCUCUGAACCAGCAGUGUGGAAGCAGUGUGUCCACCACGAUCCACACUCAGGAACCAAAUAGCCCUUGGAUACGUUUUCAGAUAAAUCUUUGCCUGUCCAAACUCUAGCUGCUUGCUCUCUAAAGCUCCAGAAUGAAAUGGAAUCAAGUAGGAAGGGAUGCCUUCAGUAUUUCAGUAUUUGGACCACUGGCCAUCUGGGUGCAGACAGACUGAAUAGCAGUUCUGGUUCUGAUGAUUUGGGUCAAGGGAGCUGUGAAUUGAAGGAGUGGAUAGAAGGAAUCAAGAAGCCCAAAGGGGAACCCAGGUGGGCUGAGAAAGAGGUUUCAGGCCCCUUAUUUGGGAAAGGCAGCCACAGAAGAAGAUUCUGUCUGGGAGUGGAUUUCCACCCACCCUCUCCACCCAGUGACCCCCAAGUGGAUCCGCAGAGGCAGCCCCUGAGCCCUCCCUCCCCACUCCUCCCCAGGGGGAGGGAAAACCCACUGGGGAAGGUUUAUUUGCAAUGGUUGGAGGUUUGGGUUUUUUUGUGGGUUUUGGUUUUUUUUUUUUUUCCUCUUUUUCUCUUGCUCCUCCUGUCUCUUUCUCUCCUGGGCUUGUGAAGUUUGCUCAAUAUGGAAUGUCCUAAUUAUUUCUUUCCCCGAUGAAGAAGGUGUUAAUUGAGGCAGAGCUAUUUCUGCUCCUGGCCUCGUCACCCAGGCGGAAAUGCGAGAGAGAGAGAGAGAGAAUGAAUAUGGGGCAGGGCCACUUGGAAAAAUCAGCCGUGAGCAGAGAAACCAGGACUCCUGGAUCCUAGGUUUCUGUGAAGUUUUAUUUUAUGUUUUUCUACCCUAGACUAGCUAAAGGAGAAGAGGCCAUGGGGUUGGCUUGGGUCCGAGUGGGGUUUUGAGGGGACAGAUGUGGGUGGUGCCACCAGAGGGGAGGAAGCCUCGAUUUAGGAGAAAGACUGAAAAGCUAGCUCACGAUUAAAAAUAUAAGACGUGUGAGUAAGAGACAGAUAUAUACAGACACCCAGGCAGUGGGUUAAUUUUAAAAUGUAUUUAUAACCGAAUUCCUCAGACACUCUGGACGCUUGUUUUUCUAGAAGCAACGCUCAGAGUGUUUCGUGUCGGUGGUUGGGGGGUUGAGGGGGAUUGCAAAGCUGCUAAAGAUAGACCCGUUUUCAGUAGCAUUCCUCAGUGUCGGGAGCCCAGUUCCUGUGUGCCCAGCACCGUGCCAAUCGCUUAGAAGGAAGCAAAGAUAAAGUGGAAGGCUUCCUGCUUUCUAAGAGCUUCCAAAAUAGUUAGAGGAAACAAGACCCCUCAUUUGCAGCCAUUUUUAACAGUGAAGGCUAAUGUGUGAUUAUACCCACGCCCCCCUAAAUAUGAAAAUUCAGUAGCUAUUGUAUGCCUGAAAGGGGCCAGGUGCAGUGGCUCACACCUGUAAUCCCAGCACUUUGAGAGGCUGAGGUGGGAGUAUCCCUUGAGGCCGUUAGUUUGAGACCAGCCUAGGCAACAUAGCCAGACCCUGUCUCUGCUAAAAUAAAAAUUUAAAAAUUGGCUGGGUGCAGUGGCUCACGCCUGUAAUCCCAGCACUUUGGGAGGCCGAGGCAGGCGGAUCAAAAGGUCAGGAGUUCAAGACCAGCCUGGCCAACAUAGUGAAACCCUGGGGGUCUCUACUAAAAAUACAAAAAAAAUAAAUUAGCCAGGCAUGGUGGCGUGUGCCUGUAGUACCACAUACUUGAGAGGCUGAGGCAGGAGAAUCACUUGAACCUGGGACAUAGAGGUUACAGUGAGCCGAGAUCACGCUACUGCACUCCAGCUUGGGCAACAGAGUGAGAUUUCGUCUCAAAAUAAAAAAAUUUAAAAAUUAGCCAUGAGUGGUGAUACAUGCCUGUAGUCCUAGCUACUCGGGAGGCUGAGGAAGAAGGAUCACUUGAGCCCAGGAAUUGGAGGCUGCAAGGCUGCAGUAAGCUAUGAUGGUGCCUGCACUCCAGCCUGGGUGACAAAGUGAG
rnacentral:sRNA from 1 species